rnacentral:rRNA from 1 species
AGUGAACGCUGGCGGUAGGCCUAACACAUGCAAGUCGAACGGCAGCACAGUAAGAGCUUGCUCUUACGGGUGGCGAGUGGCGGACGGGUGAGGAAUACAUCGGAAUCUACUUUUUCGUGGGGGAUAACGUAGGGAAACUUACGCUAAUACCGCAUACGACCUACGGGUGAAAGCAGGGGAUCUUCGGACCUUGCGCGAUUGAAUGAGCCGAUGUCGGAUUAGCUAGUUGGCGGGGUAAAGGCCCACCAAGGCGACGAUCCGUAGCUGGUCUGAGAGGAUGAACAGCCACACUGGAACUGAGACACGGUCCAGACUCCUACGGGAGGCAGCAGUGGGGAAUAUUGGACAAUAGGCGCAAGCCUGAUCCAGCCAUACCGCGUGGGUGAAGAAGGCCUUCGGGUUGUAAAGCCCUUUUGUUGGGAAAGAAAAGCAGCAGGUUAAUACCCCGCUGUUCUGACGGUACCCAAAGAAUAAGCACCGGCUAACUUCGUG